rnacentral:rRNA from 1 species
UGGGGAAUAUUGCACAAUGGGGGAAACCCUGAUGCAGCCAUGCCGCGUGUGUGAAGAAGGCCUUCGGGUUGUAAAGCACUUUCAGUCAGGAGGAAGGGGAGCAGACUAAUAUUCUGUUUCAUUGACGUUACUGACAGAAGAAGCACCGGCUAACUCCGUGCCAGCAGCCGCGGUAAUACGGAGGGUGCAAGCGUUAAUCGGAAUAACUGGGCGUAAAGCGCACGCAGGCGGUUGGAUAAGCGAGAUGUGAAAGCCCCGGGCUCAACCUGGGAACUGCAUUUCGAACUGUCCGACUAGAGUCUUGUAGAGGGGGGUAGAAUUCCAGGUGUAGCGGUGAAAUGCGUAGAGAUCUGGAGGAAUACCGGUGGCGAAGGCGGCCCCCUGGACAAAGACUGACGCU